rnacentral:lncRNA from 1 species
UUGUCUUUUAAUUUUGUGUGCAUGUAUCUGAUGAUAGGCUAGAAAUAUGAAUUUUUGGGCUUUACUUCACCUGUUAUUUGCUGUAUUUUAAUUGUGUUUGAACUUAAAAGUAAAAAAUUUAUACUAAUUAGGUGUUUCUUAUUUGUAGGAGAAAGUUUGGAGGAAAUUUGAUCAAAAGAAAUAAGAAAAAUAAUGGAAGCUGUUGAAGUAAAAUUGCAAAUUAUUUUGGUGGGACCAAUAAUUAUGUAAUGAUGAAGCAUAAGGAAAGAGAUAUAAACAAAUAAUGGAGACAAACACAAAGAAUUGGAAAAGAAUGAGAUUUGGAUUUAAAACUUUACAUAAGGCAGCAACGAAUCAGAAAAAACGGCAACAGAGUUGGCAUCAAACAUAGAGGAAACGAAGUCCUCUGGAAAUUCUCACUAAAGCGACGCACUGUGUGAUGCGCACCGCGUCGCGGCUGCCUAUUUCCUGCUGUCUGUCAAUUGUUGAGCUCUCUGAAAAUCCCCACUAAUGCCUCGCAUGGUGCGUCUCCCCAUGUGACGUACCUGUGUAAUUUUUACAGAGCUAUUUUCCUAUUUCAGCUAGGAAAAGGUGAUUUCGUCUGAACCCGACCCUACUUGGUAUAAAUACAUGAAAAAAAUAUUAUUUUCUGGACUUUUGACACAUAUUCGACCUAAGGAGGCGAAGGAGGAGCUGGAAGAACACGAGUUUGGAUUGAAUUUAUGUUUUCUUAUACUUAAAUUUUAUUUGUGAUGAAUUUAUCCAUAUCUGUAAUUCUCUUUAGAGUUUGAUGGAUUUGGUGUUUUGAUGAUUGUUUGUGGAUUAUAACUCUAGUUUUAUGUAUUGAAGCGUUUUUGGAUGAUUUAAUUAUUACAUCUUUAUUCAGUAGUUCGUGUAAUCGAGAGAUGCAUAACUUGUGAUAUCCUUGCAUUAUAUUAUUGGUUGAGUUCAUAGAUUCUUCUAAGUAAUCGAAAGAGGCUAGUUGAAUCAUUGAUUAAACCUAGUUAGGAGAAUAAUCGAAAGAGGUUUUCCUAAAGACCAAUCCAUUACACAUUCUUACAUAUCUUCACGUGCUUAAAUUGGUUCAUCUUGUGAGGUUGAGACUUAAUCGCAAGAGGAGUUUCUACUAAACAUUUGAACUAAUAAUUGAGUGAAUUCGAGAGACUCAAUUGAACAUUAGAAGUAAAUUAUCUAGAGUUAGAUUCCGAACAAUUAUCUUGCACCUAUCCUAUCAAAACCCUUAGACAUCUUAUAAAUCUCAACUGUUGAUCAUCUUGGAUAGAAACCAAGCUAGAAACUACGAGAAUACUGUUUAAAUCCAAUCUCUGUAGAUACGAUAUUAUACUAUACUAUAUUUGAUUAGCGAGCAGAAUUAAGUGUGUGUUUUGCACUCGUCAAAUUUUGGCGUCGUUACUGGAAAUUGGCAAUCAAUAGUGUUUGAAAUAGUUUGUAGUUCUAAUUGAGGAAUUUUUAUUUUUAUUUUUCUUUUUUCUUUUUACGUUUGGUGUUCUUUGACUGUGCGUAGAUUGCAGGUUGAGGUUGGUGCAUGACUCGAGCUUCUGCGAAAGAAGUGCUACCAUACAAGCCAGAGAUAGAAAAACAACUGCGACAACUGAGGAAGGAAAGAAAUCUUACCGAGAUAUUAGAAAAGGUUAGGCAUGUCACGCCCUAAAACCGAGGAUCACGACCGGCGCUCAACCGAGUGGACCCGAUCGAGCAAGCCUGUUAGACACUAUCUACCCGACUCACCUAUGAUCCAGAUAAGGCAUGCUUUCAUUAGUUAGAGAGUAGAAAGUUCAUACAUAUAUACAUUACUAAGUCGUUUCAUUUUGUUACAUUAUUGUUAAGUUUCAAAAUACAUCCAUCCUUAUGACUGAGCGGAAUAAGAUCCCAAAACACAACAUGAUCCGUUGACCUUUCUAACACCCAUAUACAACCCACAUAAUAUCUACGGAGCCUCUAAAGAUACAAAAGAGAGUAAAGAUAGUGCCGGUAACAAGGCUCCGGCUAUACCUUAAAAUACAUAAGAAACAAAAGAUGCACAACCCCGAAAUGAGAUGGGGCUUACCAAGUUAGCUGGGAAGAUUGAGCACUGCUAUCACUCGUCAGUAUCCUCCGUUGUGGAAUCACCUGCAUCCAUUAAAGAUGCAGCGCCCCCGAAAAAAGGGACGUUAGUACAUGACGAAUAGUACUAGUAUGAAAACCAAACAUCAAUUUAAGAACUCGGAAAUAUAGUGUAAAUAUGAUGAAUCAUGGCGACAAUAGAAUAACAUAGAUAGCCGUUUAAACCAAAGCAAGCUUAUCAAGAGCAAUCAUUAACAUUUAUAGGAUUUAAGAUGAGAUCCUCUGUAACUAUUUUCACAUAAAACGGCCCCUCCGCCUCACACCAAUAUAUGCGGGUAGAGGUGUAAACACAAUACCAAAACUCUACUCAAGCGGCCCUGCCGCCUCACCCCAAUGUAUGCGGGUGGAGGUGUAAACACAAUACCAAAACUCUACUCAAGCGACCCUUAUGCCUCACCCCAAUGUGGGUGGAGGUGUAAAUACAAUACCCAUUUUCACACAAAGCGGCUUCGCUGCCUCACCCCAAUGUAUGCGGGUGGAAGUGCACCAACGACACCAAUACCUAUACAAUGUGGCCAUGCCGUCUCACUCCAAUAUAUAUAUGUGGGUGGUGGUGCAACAAUAAUACCAAAAUCAUACACAAAGCGGCCAUGCUGCCUCACCCCAAUAUAUGCGGGUGGAGGUGUAAUCCCAAUCACAAUCUCUACACAAUUUGGCCAAAUAGUUUUCCACAUAAAUCACGACUUGGAAUCAUAAUACGUAGAUACACAAUCCAUGGUUUGGAGCACAUCCUCAAUUUAUAAUACAAUAUCAUGAGAGCAUUUGAAACACGAAUUAAACAUAUAUCUUUAUCAUAAAACUUAUUCGGAAUACUCAACUUGUAAUAAAUAUCUUGGAACUUAAAAGGAUAUUGGGGUUCCAAUUCUUAAAGAAGAUUUUAGCCAACAUACCUCAAUGGAGUUUCCUUAAACUCUAAAAUAUUCCGAAAUUCUUAGCAACUUCAGUCUAUUUUAGAAAUAUAACAAAUUGAACCAAAAUUAGGAAGAUGCUCAUGGUUCUAGCUCAUUUGGGCAUUUUAUCAAACACUAGGUGUGCAUUAAGGUUUCAAGGUCCUUUUAUGGAGGAUUCCAUCAUCCCAUUUAGCUCAACAAUAUUCCUAUACCCUUUGAUAACGCAUGCAUGUAAAAUAAACAACUCUCAUGCCCAAAUAUUAUCUUGCUAAUUACCCAUUUCUAGACAAAAUUCAAAAUUGAGGGUUAGGAUGUAUAAUCUUACCUCUAGGAUGAAGACCUAGUGAGUUUUCCUUCUUAAUCUUCCAAAAUUUGAGCAAGAAUUGAAAAACAAUUAUUGAGGAACACUUUCUCACUCUAGGGCACUCUCUUUCACUCUAAAAUAUUAGAUUUUAGCUCAAAAAUGGCCCAAAGCGUGUAUUUAACGAAGUAGGGUCGUGUUUUAAAAACCCAAAAAUGAAGCUCCGGAAUAAGGUCUGCGAUCGCAUAUGAGAUCGCAUAAUCGAUAUUCGGACCGCAUAAUUGGUGUCCAAAACUGGCCAAAAAUCUAUCUGGGUCUGCGGUCACUAUACAGUUCUGUGGUUGCAUAAUGUACCGCAGAACGGUUCUGCGAUCGCAUAGUGCACCACAGAACCUCCCUUCGAAAAAUCCCAAAGCGGGAUAUGCGACAAGAGUGCGGCCCGCGAUGUGGUUAUGCGGUCGCAUAAUUGCUGCGAAAUUGACAUAAAAAAUAACCCAGAAAACUUACUCACUUUGCGACCAUUCUGCGGUCCGCAGAGUGGUUCUGCGGUCGUAGAAUAGGCCGCAGAAUGCCUACUUCUGCCCAACAUUUUCUUCAACUCCCCAGGGGCCUUAUAGGGCAAUCCUCAACCUAAGAAACUAUGGCUGGAAAUGGUGAUGAUAAUGUGGAUUUGGCUGUAAGAGAGGCAGCCCAACAAUGAGAACAAAUUGUACGGGAUGCUGAGGAAGAAGCUAUUAGAGAUGCGCAGAUUAUCUAUGAAGAAGAGAGGGGUCGGAGAAUUGCUCAGAAUCAACCCUUGGCUGUAGAUCAGUUCGAAAAUAUAGCUCUUAUGCCUGGGAGAUCAUUGGGCGAUUAUGCUCGGCCGGUCUACAAUCAAGGCUUAUCAAGUGUUAGACCACCUCCAAUUACAGCUAACAAUUUUGAGUUAAAGCAAGGGUUGCUUCAAACCCUGCAGGAUUGUUGUGUCUUCAGAGGGAAGAUGAAUGAAGACCCAAAUACACAUCUAAUGUACUUCGAGUAGAUUAUGAAUACCUUUCAAUAUAAUGGUGUGUCACGAGAUGCAAUUUACUUGAGGGCAUUCCCCUUCACACUCAAAGAUGAUGCAAAGUAGUGACUUCGAAGCUUACCCACAGGAUUAAUUAGAACUUGGGAGGAGAUGACCAAAACAUUCCUUGAUAAAUAUUUCGCCUCAGCUAAAACGGGCAAGUAUAGAAGGGAAAUCCAUAAUUUCUACCAGAAAGAUAUGAAAACUGUUUUUGAAGCAUGGGAAAAGUUUAAGGAGAUUGUUCGAAAGUGUCAAUAUAGCGUAAUUGAACUAUGGAUGCAACUCUAGGACUUUUGGGAUGGAUUGACACCGGCCUCACGUAGAACAUUGAGAAUUGCAGCUGGAGGCCCUUUGAUGAAAAAGACUCCAGGGGAGAUAGUUACAAUUCUUGAUGAGUUAUCUGAAGAUCCAAAUCAGUGGCCCUCUGAGAGUGCUGAAAGAAGAAGAUCAACUGGUGUUCACCAGGUUGAUGCUAACACAUCUGUGCAGGUACAACUUGAUGCUAUGGACAAAGAGAUAAGGAAGCUGACCUUAGCCUCGAUACAAAGUGAGCCUCACGCAGCUUGUGAUAUAUGUGGAAGAGAACACCCUACUCAUGAGUGUCAAGCCUCAAUUGAGGAAGUAAAUGCUAUGGGAAACUACAAUUUCAAUGCAAUGGGUCAGAGGCACCCUGGUUUUUCAUGGAUUUCACCUGGAGGUACUGCGAAUGCUUGGCAACAAAACAACUCUAGACCCCAGGGAUAAGGAGCUCCAUCAUACCAAAAUCAGUAGAGGCAGCAAUUUCAGCCUCAACAGCCCAUUCACCCUGGUCUAGAAGAUCUAAUGAAGGCCUUCAUUAUCAAGACAAAUGAGAGACUGGACGCCCAUGGAGCAGCUAUCAAAGAGUUGGGCACAUCUUUUCGAAACCUAGAGAGACAAGUGGGACAUAUUGCAACAAUAUUUUCUGAGAGGGCUCCAGGAACUCUCCCUGCUGAUACUGAGAGAAAAGAAACGGUGAAUGCUGUGACCUUGAGAGGUGGGAAAGUGUUGAAAGACCUCACCCGAUCCAAAAUGAUGUGAAACAUGAAAACGAAAGUGGGGAGCAGCAUAAAAAGAAGAAGGGCCAGAUAAAAUCUGAGGAAAAGAAGAAGGGAGAAACUUCGAGAAGUGAGGAACACGAUGAGAGUGAGCAUAUGCUUGAUUUACCUUUCCCUCAAAAGCUAUGUAGAGAAAAGCUGGACAAGCAGUUUGCGAGAUUUCUGGAUGUGCUAAAACAGGUUCAUGUAAAUUUUCCAUUCACAGAAGUACUCUCACAAAUGCUUGCUUGUGCAAAAUUUUUGAAGGAGAUCCUUACAAAGAAAAGGAAAAUCGAGGAGACCUCAGUGGUCAAGCUCACAGAGCAUUGCAGCGCGAUAUUACAUAAAAAAUUCCCAUAAAAGUGUGGAGAUCCAGGGAGUUUUACUAUACCUUGCUCUGUAGGAACUAUUCAUUUUGAUAAAUCAUUAUGUGAUUCUAGUGCCUCAAUUAAUUUAAUACCUCUAUCUAUUUACAGGAAACCGGAGAAGGAGAUUGAAGAGAUAAGGUGCCAAUAUCUUUGCAGCUGGCAGACCAAAUGACUUUAUUACUCUAGGGGAUAGUGGAAGAUGUAUUAGUUCGGGUAUAUAAGUUUGUAUUUCCUAUAGACUUUAUAGUGGUGAAUAUGGAGGAGAACAAUGAGGACCCCCUUAUCCUAGGAAGACCAUUCUUAGCAACGGGUAGAUCUAUAUUAGAUAUAUAUGAGAGAAAACUCAUGCUUAGAGUGGGUGAGGAAACUGUGAUUUUCAAGAUGAAUGUAGAAAAGGGGGCAUAAAAGGAAAAACCACCUGCGAGUGUUGAGUGGAAAGUGAAGGGCUCAAAAGAGAAGGAUGCACUGAGUGAGAAAGAUAAGUGUGGGGUGUACCCCAAUAAGGCUGAGAAGAAGCUGUCUGCAUGGAUAUGCACAUUAGUUCGAAGGCGAGGAAUGGAUCCCAAUUUCGAGUCAGACCCCGACUAGAUAUUCAGGAAAGUUUUCUUUACCUUAUGCUUUUUAAUUGUGUGUCAUGGGGACAUGCCACAACUUAAAGUAUGGGGUGGGGGAUAUGUUGUAUGUAUGCAUGCAUGCAUGCAUGUAUGNNNNNNNNNNNNNNNNGUUUUAGUUUUUGUUAGUUGCAGUAGUUAGAGAUAGAAAAUAAUUGAAAAAACCAUAAAAAAUUUAAAAUUUUCGAUUUUUCCCGACAAUGGAUAUCAUCGACAUGUUUCUUGAGGGAUUAAAUUCGAAAGAAAAAGACAAAAAGAUUUUCUUUUGUUAGGUAUGUAUGUAGUUUUAGUUUUUGUUAGUUGCAGCAGUUAGAGAUAGAAAAUAAUUGAAAAAACCAUAAAAAAUUUAAAAUUUUCGAUUUUUCCCGACAAUGGAUAUCAUCGACAUGUUUCUUGAGGGAUUAAAUUCGAAAGAAAAAGACAAAAAGAUUUUCUUUUGUUAGGUAGUGUAAUAAUUCCCCCUUAGUUUUUCUUUGUGUUACGGUUCUUUUCCAAGGGUUUUGUUUGAACCGGGUGUAGUUAGUUUUUUUAUUUUUUUAGGAGUAGGAAACCUUGUGCUAUGGCUUGAAUGGAAGGCAAUAUCUCAUGACUUUAUUAUACCUUGAGAAUAGUGAGUAUUUUAGUGUGACGCUUAGGCUCAGUUUUUGACUCUUGUAAAAGUACCUUAAGUUGUAUGAUCUUAACUCUGCUUAACUGCUUUGACUAGAGUGUCUUGAUAGUCCGAUCUUGAGUGAGUUUUGUGCCAUGUGUGUGUGAGGUUUUGUAUUAUUCUAUGCAUUGUAUUUGAUAUCUAGAACUUGCCCCUUAUAUUUGCAAAGCGAAAUGGUAGUUUUAUUCAGUCUAGGAAGUGAUUUAGGCGUUUCUUUGUUGAGCCAGUUAUAAGCUUUUACCCACCUAAUUGUUAUGUAUCGUAGUUAACUCUUUUGAGCCUGUAAUCUUAUUUCUUUGACAACCACAAUACAAGCUUUUCCCAUUUGUUCGAAUUGACCAUCUAUUUGAACCUUGUACCUCUCAUGAGCAUUUGAAUUUGUUAUGAACUUUGUAAAAUUUGAAGUGUGGGGUGGUUGGUUUGGCUGUUAAGUGGAACUAAUGAAAUAAGGAGAAAGGUGCACUGUAUUUAAAAAGUAAGAGCCACUUGAAUUGAAAGAGAAAAGGAAAAAUGUUUUAUUGUUGUGCAAAUUACUCUUUGAUAGUGGUAACUCUUGAUGUAAUUGUGCUUAAAGAAGUAGGGAGUUAAUGUAUAUUGAUGUGAAUGUGGAGUUAUGGUUUGACAUAAGUGUGGAGUUUUUGAAUGGUUAAAUGUAUGUAUUAAAGUGCUUAGGGAGGUGUAGUCACUCUUAUAUCUAAAAUGUAUCCUACCCAUCUCGCAGCCUAUAUUACAACCAAAUAAAGUCCUACUUGAUCCUUGACUGAAUGAUCUAAAUUAGUAGAGUAUUACACUACGGGCAAACCUAUGGUACGUCUUUUGUGGCAUAUGAAUGUUAUUUCUGAGAGUGCGUGAAUUCUUUCUAUCUUGAGUUCCUAAUUGUUCUUAAAUUCUAUUAUGUGUGGAACUACUUUCUUUUGUUGUGUGAGGGCACUUAAUUAAUGAAGGAAAGGUAAUGUCAUUGACCUUUGUGUAGAGUAAGUGAGCGGGUUGUGAAAAAUGCAUGGUGUUUUUGAGUCAAAUCUUGAGGCGAGGAUGUUACGGUAUUGUGCUUAAUCUGUUUUAAUUAUUCUUGGUGUAAUUUGUUAGGGAAGUUAUUUGAUGAAAAGGUCAUCUCUAUGUGAAGUGUAGUUUGAUUAAUCGGGGACGAGCAAUGGUUUAAGUGUGGGGUGUUGAUGGUUGGCUAGAAAUAUGAUUUUUUGGACUUUACUUCACCUGUUAAUUGCUAUAUUUUAAUCACUUAUUGCACUCUAAAUCACUGCACUUUAUUUGUGUUUGAGCUUUAAUUGGUAGUGUUUUGCACUUAUUGUGUGUUUUAUGCCUUAUAAGAGUGAUUCUGAGCUAUGUAGAUGUUAUGGAAUGAAUCCGAGCUAUUUAGAGCUUUGAAGUCUGAGUAAAAGCCUAAGGGAUUAAGCCAAGAUCGUGUUCGGGGGUCGAGGACUAAGUCUGGACGUCAAAAUGCACCAAAAAUCCGUACUUUGAGAAAUCCUCACUACUGCGGCACGUGGGGCGUCGCGACUGUACUAAACCUUCUGCCUGACAGAUGUUGAGCUCUCUGGAUUUUCCCACUAAUGCCCUACAUGGCGCGUCUCCCCAUGCGGCGCGCCUGUGCAAUAUUUACAGAGUAAAUAUUUUAUUUCGGUUGGAAAAAGGUGACUUCGUCUGGGCCUGACCCUACUUGGUAUAAAUACAUGGAAAAAAUAUUAUUUUCUGGACUUUUGACAUAUUCGACCUAAGGAGGCGAAGGAGGAGCUGGAAACGAGCAUGGGGAUUUCAUCAUUCCUUCCUCACUCAAGACACGAGUUUGGAUUAAAUUUAUAUUUUCCUAUACUUUACCUGUAUUUGUGAUGAAUUUUUCCAUAUCUAUGGAGUAGUUCUCUUUAAGGUUUGAUGGAUUUGGUGUUUUGAUUAUUGUUUGUGGAUUAUAACUCUAGUUUUAUGUAUUGAAGCAUUUUUCGAUGAUUUAAUUGUUGCAUCUUUAUUCACUAGUUCAUGUAAUCGAGAGAGGCAUAACUUGUGAUAUCUUUGCAUUAUAUUUUUGAUUGAG